ensembl:snRNA U6 U6 spliceosomal RNA
GUGCCCGCUUCGGCAGCACAUAUACUGCAAGUGGAACAAAACAGAGAAGAUUAGCCUGGCCCCUGCAUAAGGAUGACAUGCAAUUUCAUGAAGCAUUCCGUAUGUUU